UAAAAAAAAAAGAUGAUAUUCUAUUUUAACAAAUUUCAAUCGAUCAUAACUGUGUUUGCGGCGGAGAGGAGAGAGAGAUAGGAAGAAGAAAUGACAAGAGGGAAGCAAAAGAUCGAAGCUCAGAAAAAAAACGCUGAGAAGAAUCAAAAGGGUAAGGGAUCCCAACUCGAGGCUCGUGCUGUUGGCCUCAAAGUCAUCUGUUCCAUCUGUAAGGCACAACUAGCUAAUGACAAGCAGCUUGUUGAUCACUAUGGCUCGAAGCAUCCCAAGGAAAAGCCACCAAAUAAUUCAAGUUGACAUAUUGGUCAAAUCCAGUUUUCAUGGUGUAGAAAACUGCUCAUGAUACUGGUGAAAUGUUUAAAUUGUACCCGAAUAUGCUUCCAUCUAUAUACAGUUACAUUAUGGUUGUUAUUGCCUGUUUAA